rnacentral:rRNA from 1 species
UUGAUCCUGGCUCAGAAUCAACGCUGGCGGCGUGCCUAACACAUGCAAGUCGAACGAGAAAGUGGAGCAAUCCAUGAGUAAAGUGGCGACCGGGUGAGUUACACGUGACCAAUCUACCCUUGAGUGGGGGAUAACCUCGGGAAACCGGGUCUAAUACCGCAUAACAUCCUUGGAACGGAAGUACUGGGGAUCAAAGGAGUAAUUCGCCUAAGGAGGAGGUCGCGGCUGAUUAGCUAGUUGGCGGGGUAAUGGCCCACCAAGGCAAAGAUCGGUAGCCGGCCUGAGAGGGCGCACGGCCAUACUGGAACUGAAACACGGUCCAGACUCCUACGGGAGGCAGCAGUGGGGAUUUUUGCGCAAUGGGGGAAACCCUGACGCAGCAACGCCGCGUGGAGGAUGUAGUCCCUUGGGACGUAAACUCCUUUCGACCCGGACGAUAAUGACGGUACUGGUGGAAGAAGCCCCGGCUAACUUCGUGCCAU